rnacentral:lncRNA from 1 species
UUAACAUUCUCGAAUGAACUAUGAACUCAACUUUACUCACUUUUAGUUGAAAUGUCUCGCGAUUUCCUGUCAUAUAACAUACCCUUGUGGGGCUCUUCGAGUAGCGGGUAUAAAAAUGAGCACGUGACCAACUUUGUCAACGCUUCAAGCAUAUCCAAUUUAACCCUCAAAUUGCUGUCAUUAUGACAGCUACCAGAACAGAGGCAACAUCAGCUUCAGCAUCAGCAUCAGCAUCAGUAUCGGAAGUAGCAUCGGUGGAGUCGCUGAGUUAUUAGCGAAGCGUGAUUGGCAUAAAUCAAUGCAGCGGGGGCCGAGAAAGCAGAGGUGAGGACAGAGGCGGAGACAACGACAACUGGAGACAACAGAGAAAUGCACCUGGCCGAGAGACACUUGGCGGACUCACUGGCCACUCUGUCGCCCUAAUGGGAUUCGAGCCACUGAAAAAUUUAUGACUGCCAUUCCUUACCACCCACUGCCACUACUCAUCAUCAACCCACUUGUCGAUGUCAUUGUUCCGUUAUGUUGGUUCGCCUGUAAUCC